CAGAGACAACACAGAUUUAAAUAUGUAAUGGGAAGUAAGCUGCAUUCAGGGAUUUCUGUAAUAAAGAUAAUGGAAUCUUGAAAUGCAAGAGGGGUAGCCCUCUGUAAUCUACAGGACACAGCAGAGGGCAACCAGUCAUGGCAGUCUUCAGGUUUAAGCUUUGGGAAUUUGCUUGGCUUGAAUUCUGACAGGAGUCUUCCAGGUGACGGCAAUAUUGAGACACGAGAAAAGCACCUUGACAUGUCUUCUAAAGAGGUUGGCUGGAAUGGAAAUACUUGCACUAUCUUGGCAAAUUUCUUACAGCAGCUCUGGAAGAUGUUCCCCCUCCUUUCAGGAAGAGUCCUUCCCUGUUCCCUUCAAUGCCCUCAGGGUCACAGCACACACAGAGCUGGAGGGAAGCAAGCUCCCAGCUUCAGGAAACUCAUAAUUUUGACUCAGAAGAGGAAGGCUUUCAAAGUGUCAGGUAAAAGAUGUCCCUGCUUGGAAGACUCAUCUGGGGAGGAAUGGACCUGCAGGAGCUUUGACGAUGUGACUUCAUUGCCUUCAGGCUGAAAAGGAAGCUGAACACAGAUUUCCCAUUUCCUAGGUAAGCAUUCUGCCACUAGGCUAAGAGCUGACUUUAUUUAUUUACCUACAAUUGCAGUUUCACAUUUUAUUGAUGGCACAUGUAAACAUAUAAAAUUUAUUCUCUUAAGAAUGUGCAAAGGAAUUGGAAAUGGUAUAGGUACUGGUAAAAAGUGCAUGUGACUGAUUAUUCUCAUUUUUAAAACAUGCAACUUGAAAACACUUCUUGAUCUGGGGAUAAAAAAUUCUGUUUGACUUUGGUCACCAAUCACACAGUCCAACUAUUGAGCAAGCAGUAGUUGUGGCACAGCAUUCACAAGUAAGUACACAGUCUGCAAGAUGUUCCCAUGCAUUAUUCAGUGAAUAAUUCUAAAUAAUGAAAACACUGAAAUCUGUGUGCAGAUGUAGUAUGGGGGACCAAAUUAAAUGUGUUGUUUAAUAGAAGAAGCUGACCCAGCUCUAGUGGAAACCAGCACCAGCUGUUCAGAGACCUGUGGGUCUACGUAACAUGAAUUUAUCGUUUGAUAGAAACAGUAAUCCAAGUCCAGCAAUCACUAGUGUGUGGUAGGUAUCAUUCACAGUGAUGAAGCAGCUUCCAGAAUACACACCCACAGGCUACCUUCACUGUGGAGUCACCUUCUGAGUGAUUUCCAUCUUCCAGGUCAGCUCCUUGGGAGCUGGCUGUGGUCGGCUGGGAACCUGUUGGCAUGGCACCCGCCUGGUGUCUGCAGCUCGCGGUGACCCUGCCGGCGGCUGUGGGCUGUGGGCACU
rnacentral:lncRNA from 1 species